ensembl:snRNA U6 U6 spliceosomal RNA
GUGCUUGCUGCAGUAGCACAUAUACUAAAAUUGGAAGGAUACAGAGAAGAUGAGCAUGGCCCCUGCACAAGGAUGACACACAAAUCCGUGAUGCGUUCCAUAUUUUC